rnacentral:sRNA from 1 species
UGACUUAGCUUUUGUAUCAAGUUUGGG